GUGAAUCAUCAAAUUUUUGAACGCAAAUUGCACUCUCUUCGAAGAGUAUGCCUGUUUGAGGGUCAGCCUAAAAAAAAUCGACAUAGUCACUGUUUCACGGUGUCAUUCGUCGGAAAUUGGGUCAUCUUAAACCUUUGUGUCUUAAGCGGCUUAAAAUUUUCUUCACGAUUCCACGAACGUUUCUAAGAUUUACUUCUUACACGUUUAAGGUAAUCGAUCUUUAUUAGGCGUGGCCGUUGCAUCGGAUCUCGUCCAAAA
rnacentral:misc_RNA from 1 species